CGGCGGACGGGUGAGUAAUGCCUAGGAAUCUGCCUGGUAGUGGGGGACAACGUUUCGAAAGGAACGCUAAUACCGCAUACGUCCUACGGGAGAAAGCAGAGGACCUUCGGGCCUUGCGCUAUCAGAUGAGCCUAGGUCGGAUUAGCUAGUUGGUGAGGUAAUGGCUCACCAAGGCGACGAUCCGUAACUGGUCUGAGAGGAUGAUCAGUCACACUGGAACUGAGACACGGUCCAGACUCCUACGGGAGGCAGCAGUU
rnacentral:rRNA from 1 species